AUGCUGGCAGCAGUGGGACAGUGAGCCUGGGAGGAAUCUUUAGACAACCCCCACCGACUUCCAGGAAGUCGGCCAGACGUCAUUUCCAGGAGGGGGCUAAGGGAGGAACAGCCUUCCAGCAGAUCUCCAGAGGGUCCUGUGAACCAAGAGACGGCCCUUCCUGCCCCCAGUGUUGGAAAGGAGAAGGUAGUAGAAAGGAUUCUGAUGCCCCCUCCCCCACCUCUGUUUGUGGCCCCUGCCCCUGUUGCACGCAAAAGGCCGAGAGACACAGAAGACCCAGUCAGUCUGCCUGGCAUCACCGCGUCUAUGGGUGUUCAAGAUGAGAUCGGCAAGAAGACGAAAGUCGACGAAGAUACGUCUGGGCUAGUCCCCUACGGAGGAGACUCCUCCGACGAAGAGGAGGAGAGGACGCGCAGCAGUAAGCCCGAUCACUCAUAACCCCUGCCCCCCCCCCAGUCCAGGAUACUCACAGACCCAAAGUCUCCAUUCGGUUUACCAACACAGUUCUCAAACCCCGGAAAGGAAAAAUCCGCCCUUUCAUUUUCAUUCACUAUUUUGCCUUUUUUUACUACAAAGAGGGAAUGCAUUGAUUGCUGAUCAUUGUCCAAGUAGAGUUAACCAUUUUAAAACUUGCAGAAUGUUUUUUGUUUUUUUUUCAUCUCCAUGUGGCACUUACGGAGAGGAACAUCUGGCCCCACUUUAUGUAUCACAUCCUUUUUAAAAGGCAGGGGACCAAAAUGUACAAACUGACAGGUUGACAAUCUUAAUAUAUCAUUAUUUUAUAGCACAGAUGAUUAUUAGUAAACGGGCUGUAAAUAAAAAAACAAAUACUGGUAUGGUCUUUGAAUAAUCACCAUCUCCUGAUGUUUGGUGCUUUCGUGGACUCUUAAGGAGGAAAGGUUUUUAUUGAAUGGUCUUGGUCUAGGUUUUGCCAUGUGUACUUUUUCAGUUUAUUUUUUUUUUCUCUUAUAUCACACAAGGGGUGUGAACCUGUUGGUUUCUCUAUAGUAUUGCACACCUCUAUAGCAGUUGUAAAUAUAGAAAACCAUGCCAACUAUUUCAUUGUGCAUAUUUGUGUAGCCAAAUGACUUAUAAAGCGCAGCACAUCUUGUGGCUUCAUGCUCAUUAGAGAUUGUAAUGGUUUUAGAAAAUAUAAAUCUUUCACCUUUGUUAUCGCUGUCUUGAUAUAAACCUUUCUUUCUUACUCUUAAGUGUCUGACUCCAAAACGUUCACAUACAAUUAUGAGAAGAUGGUCAUUUUUGUAAAGAUGUCACUAUUAAACAAAUUACUCACUUUGAUCAGUGAAAGUAUUCAGGGUGGAUUUUCCCUUUUUUUUUUUUUUUUGUU